rnacentral:rRNA from 1 species
AGGUCCUGCCUGCCCAGUGACUAUGUUAAACGGCCGCGGUAUUUUGACCGUGCAAAGGUAGCGCAAUCACUUGUCUUUUAAAUGAAGACCUGUAUGAAUGGUGGAACGAGGGCCUAACUGUCUCCCUUUUCAAGUCAAUGAAAUUGAUCUGCCCGUGCAGAAGCGGGCAUACAAAUACAAGACGAGAAGACCCUUUGGAGCUUAAGAUUAAAAAUCAACUAUGUCAAAUAUUCAUUAAAUAGAACUAAAUAGUAAUUGAUCAUAAUCUUCGGUUGGGGCGACCACGGAAUAAAAACAAACUUCCACAUGGACUGAGGACUAACCUUAAAACCAAGAAAGACAUUUCUAAGUAACAGAAUUUCUGACCACACAGAUCCGGCAAAUUGCCGAUCAAUGGACCAAGUUACCCUAGGGAUAACAGCGCAAUCCCCUUUUAGAGUUCCUAUCGACAAGGGGGUUUACGACCUCGAUGUUGGAUCAGGAC